AGUGAACGCUGGCGGUAGGCCUAACACAUGCAAGUCGAACGGCAGCACAGGAGAGCUUGCUCUCUGGGUGGCGAGUGGCGGACGGGUGAGGAAUACAUCGGAAUCUACUUUUUCGUGGGGGAUAACGUAGGGAAACUUACGCUAAUACCGCAUACGACCUACGGGUGAAAGCAGGGGAUCUUCGGACCUUGCGCAAUUGAAUGAGCCGAUGUCGGAUUAGCUAGUUGGCGGGGUAAAGGCCCACCAAGGCGACGAUCCGUAGCUGGUCUGAGAGGAUGAUCAGCCACACUGGAACUGAGACACGGUCCAGACUCCUACGGGAGGCAGCAGUGGGGAAUAUUGGGCAAUGGGCGCAAGCCUGAUCCAGCCAUACCGCGUGGGUGAAGAAGGCCUUCGGGUUGUAAAGCCCUUUUGUUGGGAAAGAAAUCCAGCUGGCUAAUACCCGGUUGGGAUGACGGUACCCAAAGAAUAAGCACCGGCUAACUUCGUGCCAGCAGCCGCCGCGG
rnacentral:rRNA from 1 species